UAGUGUUCCAGCCGACAACCCCCCUCGUUUUCCUUCACCAUUCUCGGCUGCAACAAGGCAUCAAGCAGCCUCUUUCCAUCACCAGCUUCACCCGUCUUCCCCUUUCCGUCAAGACAGAGUUCCGGCAUGGCCGAGAAGAAGCAACCGGCAGCCCCUUUCAUUUCCGUCUUCUCCUUCCAUCAGCAGCCCUAGCAUUUCCUCAUCUCCCACCUUCCUCCCAUCUCCCUUCCUCAUCUUAACCACCGGCAACAUGGCAUGAAGCUUCGGCAUCUACGAGAAGCUGAGCAGGUCGACGGCAGUGUUGCUCGGUUCUUCGGUUCUUCGGUUAGCAAACAGCUCCGGCCAAAAGCAGCGGCGGUCUCCACUUCCAUCUCCGGUGGAGCUAGCAUGAUGAUGGUGACCCCUUCCCUUGCCUUGACGAGACAGAGUGCAGCGCUUGGAGCUCACCCACGCAUCGGCGGCGGACGUGGACCUCGGCGGUCUCGGUUAUCCUCGGUGGAGCAAAGCAGCAGCGGUGGUUGGCCUUCCUUCCAGCGUUCCCCAGUUGCUGUGCGUUCCUCUUUCCGACGGAGGACAGAAGUGGGCUCCGGUGAAGCUCAGCAGGACGCUGGCGGUGACGCGGGUGGAUGUGUUGCCGUGUUCCACCCGCGGGUUCCGGCAGGUUGAAGAAACGAAGAAGACGGUGGUUCCCGGUAGCUUGGCUCUAUGAGUUGAGCCUAUGUUGGUGUUGUUUUUGGAUGGUUAAGUGAAGGAGGUUAUGAGUAGAUGCUCGAGAACACUAGACUUGGAUCGCUAGUUAGAUUAGUUGUCCUGUGUAGACGCUUUGUUUUGUUGGCUUGUGAGCCUGCUUUAGCGGCCUGUGUGCCUAGAUACUUUUAUGACUUGUUUGGAUUAAUAGAUUUUCCCGCCUGUGCACCUAUGUCUGAGACAGGUGUGGCAUAACAU